rnacentral:sRNA from 1 species
UUGUUUCGGUAUAAAUUAAAUUUAAAAUGUGCUUGUGCGAAUCUUGCCAAUGUAUGGAUGAGACUUUUUGCUCUCUGAAAGGUAAAGCAUUAUUUCUUGGUAUGUGGACUUUAGCGCAUGGUAUAUUACUCCCAAUGGGAACGCUACUCUACUUGAGGACUGUAUAUCUUGGUGUGCUAAUCUUAGGCGCAAUGCUUUUCGUCAUCCAUAUCAUAGCAGGCAUAUUGCUGCUAGUGGGCGUUUUAAAAUCUAAGGCGAUGAUCUUUCUAGUUGGAAUCGUACUAAGCUCGCUUGUGCCUUAUAUUUAUUUCUUUACAUUUUAUUUACCAGUCGUUCAAGUAAUAUUCACCAUAUGCUCAUGCAGAUAUUAUUCCAAAGUACUUAAGUGAAUAAAAAGUUAUGUGAACCCCAGAAAUGAAAUGUCUCAGUAUUCAAUAAUGUUACAGUCAAACAUAUAUUUUAAGAUAUUCAUUUAGCAUUGAAAAUUUAUCAAAAACAGUUGUCAAGUUUCUCGUAAAAUUUACAUUAUUCAAAUUUAACAUGUGCAUGUGCGAGUCUGCUCAAUGUUUGGAUGAGGUUUGUUGCUCUCUAAGAGUAAAAGCAAUAUUUCUUGGUGUGUGGACGUUAGUACAUGGCAUAUUAUUUGGAGUAGUAAGCGGUAUUACCAGUUCAGAAGUCGAUGCUACUGCGUUUGUCGCGUUCGUAAUAAUUUGCUUCCUGCAUACUAUAGCUGGGAUCUUGCUACUAUUGGGCGUUUUUAAAAGUAUGCCAAACAUAUUCCUUGCUGGCAUCAUCACAAGCUCGUUUCUGCCCUACUUUUUGUUUCAGCUAAUUUAUCUACCAAUCGUGCAAAUCAUAUUUACCAUCACAGCUUGCAGAUAUUAUAAAAAAGUACUUGAUCAGUAACUAG